rnacentral:lncRNA from 1 species
GCUAAAUUCUGGGGGAUGGUAGCCCUCCAGGAAAAGGGUUGACUACUUCUGCUCUAAAUUUAUUUAAUAUUUUGGAUUUUUCCAUCUCUAAAUUACAUGUAAAGCAAACUCCAGGUAGUGUUUUUUUAUGUUGCGCAGAUGAUCAACCAGUCUAAGCUGCUACUGACUAAGACGUUGCACUGUGGAUCCAACUUUGUGUCAAUAUUCAAACCUCUGGAUACCUGAUACUAGUUACAAUACUUAAGUUAGAUAGACAUUGCAAAUAUGGGCUUUUGGUCUGUACUAGAAAAGGGUUGCUUGUGUUUAUUUUUUGCAGAACAUCACCACAGUGAGAGUCAGUAUCACAGACGUCAAUGACAACGCUCCAGUCUUCAGCUCUGACACCUACAGCAGAAGCAUUCUGGUUAAAGACGCCAAGGUUGGAGAGGUGCUGCUGACGCUCUCUGCCACAGAUAAAGAUGCCGGAUCCAACGCAAUCAUUAGAUACAGUUUCUCUGAAGAGUCUUCCAUGGUUGCACUGGAUGCUGAAACAGGAGACAUCACUCUGAUCUCUGACCUUAGCGAGGUCACAGAAGACAUGCUGCUAAUCCUUACUGCUACAGCGACAGAUCAUGGAACGCCAGCACAGUCUGAUGAAGGUUUGGGUCUGGUUUGCAUAAUUCCUUUGAAUUAUUCCUGUGAACAUUGUGUUCAAACAGUUCAGAUAAUGUUUGCAAAUAAACAGUUCUUUGGGAGGAGUUUAUUCUUAGUAAACCCCCCCUUCAGUAUUCAAAUGUGAUCCAAUGAACAUGUCAAAGCUAACAUCUUUCUUCUCUCUGUAGCUGAAGUCUUGAUCCACUUCAAAAUUUCCUCUCUCACUGAGAGUGUGGCUUUUGAGAGCUCCUCCUACAACUUCAAAAUUAAGGAGAAUGAACCUGAGGCCACAAUAGUAGGCAAGGUCAAGGCAUUACCAGGGAGUCCACUGGUUACAGUCAGCUAUAACAUGAAGUCACACGAGGAUGUCUUCUCUGUGGAUGAGGAAGGAACCAUAAAAGCUCUCAGACCACUGGACAAGGAGGAAGAGGAGUGGUACAUCCUCACCAUAGAGGCCAUAGACUCCAGAACACCUCCAAACACUGCAGAGACAGCGGUCAGCGUUCAGGUUGAGAAUGUAAAUGAAGCUCCUGUGUUUGACACUGAAAUAUAUAAGGCAGAAAUUUUCAGUAUCACUCCAUACAAAUUCCCUAUAGUGAAGGUCCAGGCAUCAGACCCUGAUGUUGGCGAGAGCUCAGAUUUGCAGUAUUCACUACUGGAGUCCACAUCUCUGGUGGAAGUGGAGGCAAACACUGGUCAGAUCUAUGUGCUGGAUGCAUCUAGUGUUGGCGGCGGUCUGUUCACUUUACACGUUAAAGCCACUGAUAAACAUGGACUGUUCACGACUACAAAACUUGAGUUCACAGUGAAAGAAAGUGAAAGUGACAACGUCGUGGUCCUCUCUCUAAACCAGCCCGUGUUCACAGUGGAGAAGAAGAUACCAGAGAUUGAAGAUUCCAUGAGGAAAGCUUUAGGUUUGACUGUGAAAAUCCUCAGUGUGGGAGCUGAGGAUGGGAUCGAGAUGCGCACCAUUCUCCGGGAAUCUGCAGUCAAGACUUACAUCAGCUUCAUUGCCAUGGACUCCAGUGGUGCUGUCAUUGAAGCCACGGAGGUCAAAGAGAAACUGCGGAGUAAUCACAACGCUCUAAAAGUGGAGCUGGAGAAGGUGUUUGGUUCCGAUUUGGAAUUCAAAGUGGAGGAUGGUUCUGGAAACAAUUCUGAAGAUUCCAGUCAAGCAGCAGUCAUCGCUCUCGGUGUUCUGCUGGCUAUAAGCAUUGUGGGACUCAUCACUCUGACGACUGUCUAUCUCGUUAGGAAUAAGAAAAUGAAGUACACGGAUUCGGACAAAGAGAGCUUCAAUAUUGGCAGAACCAAGACCAGAUCAAGUAUUGACAGUAGUUUUCACUUUUCCAGCAAAAAAGAAGCCAAAGAGGUCGAGUUCAGUAACAGACGCGAGUUUGAAAGAUAUUCCGAAAAUGAUGCAGAUUUGAAAACUGGAAGCAGCAUCUCUGCCCUAUGAAAACAUCCUGAUGGAUUAUAAGAUUUCAUGAGUUUUAACAUGAAUUCUGACACACUGUUAAAUCUCUGUUCCAAAACUUAGUGAGUUGCAUUUUAAGGCAAUUCCAAAAGAUACAAGCUAAUCCCAUAAUGCAUUGUGACAAGACAGAGUGAAAUGUUGACUAUAAAUAUACUUCUUUCAGUUAAUAAUGAAAAAUUGUCAAUUUUACUCAACAUUUUAUGCUUGCUGCCUAUGUAGUGUGUGCAAUUAUCAGUCACUUCUAGGUUUCAUUUCAGUUGAGAUGCUUAAACUCACCCAUUUUUGGAAAAGAACAAAAAUCUUCUUUGUAUCCGUGUUUUUAAUAUGUACAUUCAACUGCCUUGCAUUUUGAUAAUUCAUUUUCAAGGUGGUCUUUUACAAAGGGACUUGGACAUCCCAAAACCUGCUCACAAAUAACAGUAGGCUUUUGCACUUUAACUGGCCCAGCUAUGAUUGUGUAUCAAAACGCU